rnacentral:lncRNA from 1 species
UGCUCUGCUCAUUCCUGAAGAAAUUUUCUGGAUCAACCAUGGUCUUAACUUUCACCAACCUAUCAAAAUUACCAUUAAAAUACUUCUCCCCAUACACUUUCCCCUCAGCAUAGCUAUCUUCACCAUGAUGAUUGAUACCGAUAUCCACAUCCCUAUAAUUCAAAUAAGCACUUCGUGGACUCUUUGACACAAAUGGAGUCAUAAAACUGUAAAGGCUUGUCGCCUGAGAGAGUCUGUCCUCCUCAAUCUCAGUUCCAGGAUCACUCCAACUUAUUGAAUACUGAAUCUUGAACAAGUUUCCUGCUCUGUGUGGAAAUGCAGUCUCUGAUGCUGGAAUUUCAGCCAUUUUUCCUCCAUAAGGAUUGAAGACCAACCCAAUUUUCCCCAAUUCCAUCAUUUGUUUCCACAGCAAAUUCAGGGAAUAUUUUGGAAUCGGUUUCUGAACAUAAUCAGAUUUCCUCUUCAGGAAAUCAGCGGAGUUAAGGUCUCUGUCCAGCAAAACAUUUGGUGAAGUUCCAUUAUCGAAAUUGGCCCACCAAAGAACUGAUUGAAUCCAACUCAUUUCCAUGACAUUUUCUUUCUUCAGCCCCAGUUCUGGAAAAUCCUUGGCCAGGAGAGUCACGAGACUGUCGGCACCACCUAAAUACAACGCCACAAUCGAUGCCCUGACCGUCGGCUUCUUGUUUCUUGUAACAGGCUGCAAAAGCAUUCUCAUAAACAAAUUAUCAUCCGUGGCCGGCGCCACCAACUGCCAUUUAUAGACCACAUCCGUUGCAUUCUCAGCCAAAAGCCUUUCAGCUCUAAACACGGUAACCGUCUCCGGAACGGGAACCAACUUGAUCUUAUAAGCCAGCACAACACCGAAGCUCGCUCCGCCGCCGCCUCUGAUCGCCCAAAAAAGAUCCUCCCCCAU